rfam:Picea glauca, whole genome shotgun sequence.
AAAUGCCUACAUCAUAUCAUUAAUGCAUUGGAUCCCAUUAGAACUCCACAGUUAAGCACGCUCAGGAUAGAGUAGUACUGGGAUGGGUGACCGCCUAAGAAGUCCUAGCAUUCUACAUGCC